AGUUUGUAUUCAAUCCUCUCACCUUCCAAAAGUAUCUCUAGGAGAUGAAGCAACAUUUGACCACUGCUGGCCCUUCCCUGGCAUGGGGGCUCAGAAUGGCAAAGCAAAUGGGUGCAAGCCUGGGAUCAGGAGACUUGAGUGCGAGUCACAUAUUCUGUAGGAGCUUUGUGACCUGGAUCAAGAUGACUCAUUCUGGAAGAAGUCACUGGCCUCAUUGUAGUAGCCCCACAGGGAGGCCCACAUGGCAAGGAACUGAAACCUUUAGGCAACAGCCAAGGAAGAACAGAGGUCAGUCACUAAACACACAAGUGAGCUUGGAAGUGGAUUCUUCAGGCUCAGCAAUAGAUAACUAAUACAGGAAGAAAAGAUGGAUAUGAAGUGGAGAAGAACAAAGAUAAACUGGACCCCACAAGGAUAAGCUGGAACCUCAGGGGCAGACUAGAACCUGCAUUGGUCUUAUGCUCCUUCUAAGUCUUCAUCUUUGAUGAUGCUGGUGACCUGCGCGAGAAGCUGGAAUCUUUCAUCACAAAGCUAAGCGUGCACCUGCUUCAGUAGCUGGAGGAGCUGAAGGAGCAUUCAGCGGGAGGAUAUAGAAUCAUCAAGGGGCUACCAUGUCACUGAAUUUUGUCCUGUAGACUACGGAUGGAUGUCACGGAUGCCAUUCCAGCCCCAGCCCAUCAAUAAAAACCUUCUGCACAAUCCUCCAUAUCUCCUCUUUUCCCUCAUUUGCCAGCUUGGCUUAGAGGACUCAGCAGAGAACUCUGAGGGGACAAUGGAGCCUGAUGGAAGGAGUGUGGACCUGAAUAUCUGUGUGAGUGGAACCCCCUUCCAACCUGCGCUGGACUAGGACAUGACUGAGAAAUAAACCUGUAAUGUAUUAAACCACUAAGAUUCUCAGGAAGCUUUUUAUAGCCAUUUGCCUACCCUCAUGAAUGGAAAUAGAUUAGAACAACUAAGUAACCUCCCCAAGGUCAAACAGCUACCAAACAGUAGAGCAGAAAUACAACUGAGAAGUAAG
rnacentral:lncRNA from 1 species